UGUACAAUAGAAUCGGCUCCUCAAGGGUGGUCGGCUCAUCCCCUAACGAAAGGGGGUGAGAAUUAUGGUGUCAUACGAAGCACUUAACCUAGCAAUAAACUUCGGUGUAUUGCUACUAACGUUUAUAGGUGUGAUGGUUGCUAUCAUGACACUUAACAAAAAGAAAUAGACACCCUUGAGUUGUGGACGACGAAAGGAUGUCUAUUUCUAAUCGAAACGUCUGUUGAGCCGAUCCCCUUGUGGGAACGUCUAUUGUACAUGGACCGCUCUGGUGUUGGCGCACCAGACG
rnacentral:sRNA from 1 species